CUCAGAUUGAACGCUGGCGGCAUGCCUUACACAUGCAAGUCGAACGGCAGCGCGGGAGCAAUCCUGGCGGCGAGUGGCGAACGGGUGAGUAAUACAUCGGAACGUGCCCAAUCGUGGGGGAUAACGCAGCGAAAGCUGUGCUAAUACCGCAUACGAUCUACGGAUGAAAGCAGGGGACCGCAAGGCCUUGCGCGAAUGGAGCGGCCGAUGGCAGAUUAGGUAGUUGGUGAGGUAAAGGCUCACCAAGCCUUCGAUCUGUAGCUGGUCUGAGAGGACGACCAGCCACACUGGGACUGAGACACGGCCCAGACUCCUACGGGAGGCAGCAGUGGGGAAUUUUGGACAAUGGGCGCAAGCCUGAUCCAGCCAUGCCGCGUGCAGGAUGAAGGCCUUCGGGUUGUAAACUGCUUUUGUACGGAACGAAACGGCUCUUUCUAAUAAAGAGGGCUAAUGACGGUACCGUAAGAAUAAGCACCGGCUAACUACGUGCCA
rnacentral:rRNA from 1 species